AUAAUCAGGUUGCUACGGACUGCUACCCUUGUCUACUGCACUGAAUAUAGAACACCUAAUUCCCUAAAGAGUGAAAAUGAGGAUCUAAAGAUUUUAUACAAGUGUGAGCUGGAAAACGAGGAGCUUAAGAUAAGAGCCAACGACCGGGAGGAGGAGGAGGACGCACGGCAGCGUCAGAAUCAGCGCGUCGGAUCCGGCCGAGGCUUACGUCGACACGGAUGCGGAGGCUCUAGCUGCAGCCGCCGCGCUCUAUGCCCCGCCCCUGCUCGCCGAGCCCUGCCUCUCUGGAUCUCCAGCAAUGGAGGUCGCUUCUGGCAUGUUCCGCAAGUUCAAAACGAAGA